UACGUAGGCAGCGAGCGUUGUUCGGAGUUACUGAGCGUAAAGGGUGUGUAGGCGGUUCUUUAAGUUUGGUGUGAAAUCUCCCGGCUCAACCGGGAGGGUGCGCCGAAUACUGAGGGACUUCGAGUGCGGGAGAGGAAAGUGGAAUUCCUGGUGUAGCGGUGAAAUGCGUAGAUAUCAGGAGGAACACCGGUGGUGUAGACGGCUUUCUGGACCGUAACUGACGCUGAGACACGAAAGCGUGGGUAGCAAACAGG
rnacentral:rRNA from 1 species